UUGGUUAAGCUACUAAGAGCACACGGAGGAUGCCUAGGCGCUAGGAGCCGAUGAAGGACGUGGCGAACAACGAAACUGCCUCGGGGAGCUGUAAGCAAGCUUUGAUCCGGGGGUGUCCGAAUGGGGAAACCCGGCUGAUGUAAUAGUCAGUCACUUCUAUCUGAAUACAUAGGAUAGCAAGAGGCAUACCAGGGGAACUGAAACAUCUAAGUACCCUGAGGAAGAGAAAACAAGAGUGAUUCCGUCAGUAGCGGCGAGCGAACGCGGAACAGCCUAAACCAGAGAGCUUGCUCUCUGGGGUUGUGGGACGUCUCACAUGGAGUUACAAAGGAACAUAUUAGACGAAGAGGUCUGGAAAGGCCCGCGAUACGAGGUAAAAGCCCUGUAGUCGAAAGUAUAUUCCCUCCGAGACGGAUCCCGAGUAGUGCGGGGCACGUGAAACCCCGUAUGAAUCCAGCAGGACCAUCUGCUAAGGCUAAAUACUCCCUAGCGACCGAUAGUGAAACAGUACCGUGAGGGAAAGGUGAAAAGCACCCCGGAAGGGGAGUGAAAUAGAACCUGAAACCGUGUGCUUACAAGAAGUCAGAGCCCGAUCUAUGGGUGAUGGCGUGCCUUUUGUAGAAUGAACCGGCGAGUUACGUUCCCAUGCAAGGUUAAGGCGAGAAGCCGUAGCCGCAGCGAAAGCGAGUCUGAAUAGGGCGAUAUAGUAUGUGGUCGUAGACCCGAAACCGUGUGAUCUACCCCUGUCCAGGGUGAAGGUGCGGUAACACGCACUGGAGGCCCGAACCCACGUAUGUUGAAAAAUGCGGGGAUGAGGUGGGGGUAGCGGAGAAAUUCCAAUCGAACUCGGAGAUAGCUGGUUCUCCCCGAAAUAGCUUUAGGGCUAGCCUCGGAAUUGAGAGUCGUGGAGGUAGAGCACUGAUUGGGUGCGGGGCCCGCAAGGGUUACCAAGCUCAGUCAAACUCCGAAUGCCAUAGACUUAUAUCCGGGAGUCAGACAGUGAGUGCUAAGAUCCAUUGUCAAAAGGGAAACAGCCCAGACCAUCAGCUAAGGUCCCCAAGUGUGUGUUAAGUGGGAAAGGAUGUGGAGUUGCACAGACAACCAGGAUGUUGGCUUAGAAGCAGCCACCAUUUAAAGAGUGCGUAAUAGCUCACUGGUCGAGUGACUCUGCGCCGAAAAUGUAACGGGGCUAAACACACCACCGAAGCUAUGGCUUGAUACAUUUGUAUCAGGGGUAGGGGAGCGUUGUAUGCAGGUUGAAGGUGUACCGUAAGGAGCGCUGGACAGCAUACAAGUGAGAAUGCCGGUAUGAGUAACGAAAAGAUCAGUGAGAAUCUGAUCCGCCGAAAGCCCAAGGUUUCCUGAGGAAGGCUCGUCCGCUCAGGGUAAGUCGGGACCUAAGGUGAGGCCGAAAGGCGUAAUCGAAGGACAACAGGUUGAAAUUCCUGUACCACCGUAAACCGUUAUGAACGAUGGGGUGACGCAGGAGGGUAGUGACGCGGACUGAUGGAUGUCCGUCCAAGCAGUGAGGCUGAUGUGUAGGCAAAUCCGCACAUCGAUAAGGCUGGGCUGUGAUGGGGAGUGAAAAUUACAGUAGCGAAGGUCAUGAUCUCACACUGCCAAGAAAAGCCUCUAGUCAGGUGAAGGUGCCCGUACCGCAAACCGACACAGGUAGGCGAGAAGAGAAUUCUAAGGCGCGCGGAAGAACUCUCGUUAAGGAACUCGGCAAAAUGACCCCGUAACUUCGGGAGAAGGGGUGCCUCGGUAGGGUGAAUAGCCCGAGGGGGCCGCAGUGAAAAGGCCCAAGCGACUGUUUAGCAAAAACACAGGUCUGUGCGAAGCCGUAAGGCGAAGUAUACGGGCUGACGCCUGCCCGGUGCUGGAAGGUUAAGGGGAGCGGUUAGGAGCAAUCCGAAGCUGUGAACCGAAGCCCCAGUAAACGGCGGCCGUAACUAUAACGGUCCUAAGGUAGCGAAAUUCCUUGUCAGGUAAAUUCUGACCCGCACGAAUGGCGUAACGACUUGGGCGCUGUCUCAACGAGAGAUCCGGUGAAAUUUUAAUACCUGUGAAGAUGCAGGUUACCCGCGACAAGACGGAAAGACCCCAUGGAGCUUUACUGCAGCUUGAUAUUGGAUUUGGGUACGAUCUGUACAGGAUAGGUGGGAGCCUUCGAAGCAUGAGCGCCAGCUUGUGUGGAGGCGACGUUGGGAUACCACCCUGAUCGUAUCUAGGUUCUAACUUGGCACCGUGAUCCGGUGCGAGGACAGUGUCAGGCGGGCAGUUUGACUGGGGCGGUCGCCUCCUAAAGAGUAACGGAGGCGCCCCAAGGUUCCCUCAGAAUGGUUGGAAAUCAUUCGAAGAGUGCAAAGGCAUAAGGGAGCUUGACUGCGAGACCUACAAGUCGAGCAGGGACGAAAGUCGGGCUUAGUGAUCCGGUGGUACCGCAUGGAAGGGCCAUCGCUCAACGGAUAAAAGCUACCCUGGGGAUAACAGGCUUAUCUCCCCCAAGAGUCCACAUCGACGGGGAGGUUUGGCACCUCGAUGUCGGCUCAUCGCAUCCUGGGGCUGAAGUAGGUCCCAAGGGUUGGGCUGUUCGCCCAUUAAAGCGGUACGCGAGCUGGGUUCAGAACGUCGUGAGACAGUUCGGUCCCUAUCUGUCGUGGGCGUAGGAAAUUUGAGAGGAGCUGUCCUUAGUACGAGAGGACCGGGAUGGACGUACCGCUGGUGCACCAGUUGUUCCGCCAGGAGCAUGGCUGGGUAGCUACGUACGGAAGGGAUAAGCGCUGAAAGCAUCUAAGCGUGAAGCCCCCCUCAAGAUGAGAUUUCCCAACUAGUAAGACCCCUUGAAGACGACGAGGUAGAUAGGUUGGAGGUGGAAGUGCAGCAAUGCAUGGAGCUGACCAAUACUAAUCGGUCGAGGGCUUAUCCAAAAACACCC
rnacentral:rRNA from 1 species